AUUGAACACUGGCGGCAGGCCUAACACAUGCAAGUCGAACGAGUGGCGGACGGGUGAGUAAUGUCUGUGACACUGCCUGAAGGAGGGGGAUAACUCCUGGAAACGAUAGCUAAUACCGCAUACCAUCAGAUGUGCCACGAGGGGAUUAGCUAGUUGGUGGGGUAACGGCUCACCAAGGCGACGUUCCCUAGCUGGUCUGAGAGGAUGACAAGCCACACUGUAACGGAGACACGGUCCAGACUCAUACGGGAGGCAGCAGUGGGGAAUAUUGAACAAUGGGCGCAAUCCUGAUGCAGCCAUGCCGCGUGUAUGAAGAAGGCAUUCGGGUUGUAAAGUACUUUCAGCGGGGAGGCGUUACCAGCAGAAGAAGCACCGGCUAACUUCGUGCCAGCAGCCGCGGUAAUAC
rnacentral:rRNA from 1 species